CCUACGGGAGGCAGCAGUGAGGAAUAUUGGUCAAUGGCCGUAAGGCUGAACCAGCCAAGUAGCGUGAGGGAAGACUGCCCUAUGGGUUGUAAACCUCUUUUAUGCGGGGAUAAAGGUGUCCACGUGAGGAUGUUUGCAGGUACCUCAUGAAUAAGGACCGGCUAAUUCCGUGCCAGCAGCCGCGGUAAUACGGAAGGUCCGAGCGUUAUCCGGAUUUAUUGGGUUUAAAGGGAGUGUAGGCCGGUCUUUAAGCGUGCCGUGAAAUUUUGGGGCUCAACCAUGAGCGUGCGGUGCGAAGUGGAGACCUUGAGAUCGCGGAAGGCAGGCGGAAUUCGGGGUGUAGCGGUGAAAUGCUUAGAUA
rnacentral:rRNA from 1 species